ACUUCUCUCCUUGCAGCUCAAAUUGUUCUGUGCACUUGUUUGAAGAUGGUCAAAUUCUACAUAUACGUGAUGUUGUUUGUGAGUCUGUGGAAGUCUGCAGCCUCAUCUAAAUCAUGUGUCAAAAUAGAGGUCGUUGAAGAUUUUGCCAAAGACGGGAUUGUUGUAGUCGAACAGAAUGAUAAUGUCAGCCUUACAUUUGAUGUCAACAUUGACGCUUGUCAGAACAACACACAGAAGCUGGCAUUGUCAUCACGUGAGGGAGAGUUACCAGUCGCUGUAUGCAAGAUUAUUUUCACAAACGGGACAUGUCAUCAACACAUGGCAGGACAACCAUGUUCCUGUGUGAACAGUACCAAGCAUCGUGUUCACUUCCACCAGUCUAUCACUGGGGUGGAUUAUAAAAUCUACGAUUGGACUGCAGCAUCGAACACUUCCGUUAGAGAAAACCUAAUGGAACUUAUCUUUGUGAUUCGAACACACGCGACUGGAAACAACUGCUCGCAGAUUUUCAAUGAAAGCCAGAUGGAAAAUGAGGACAAAGGUGACUGCUACAGACACGUGGUCAUCGCAGUGACAUCGUCUGUUUUUGUUGUUGUUACUCUUGCUGUUGUUGCUGUGCCUCUUGGGUUCCUUCUUAGACGAAAAUGGCGAGAAAGAGGCAAGAAAUCCAAUGGAGUGAGACAGUAGUCAGUGGAAUAUAAACGAUGAACCAUAAUACUUAUUAACAGACAUAGAUGAGGACAGAAUGACAGAUAGAUGAUAGGCCAGAACAUCAGAAAAAGUCAUUCACCCAUCAGAGGUGAUAUACGCGUCGAAGCCGUCCCUCUUCAAAUGAAUGACACGGCGAUGAAAACAGUCGACAUUACACUACAUUACUACGUCACUUCCUGUUUGAAAACACCAGGAUGUCAGCCGAAACCAGUAACAACGAGGCCCAUCCACACAAAUAUACGGGGUCACAGAAAAUAAUUUCCUCUUCCUUUGCUUCAAGUACAUUCCUUAAGAUGAAAGAUUCUAGUUUUCUCGACAUUUUUUUUUUAAUUCAAAAGAUUGUUCUUUUGAAAUGUAACCUAAAAAUAAAAUAUAUAU
rnacentral:misc_RNA from 1 species